rnacentral:tRNA from 1 species
GGGCCCUUAGCUCAGCUGGAAGAGCGCCGCCAUGGCAUGGCGGAGGCCGCGAGUUCGAGCCUCGCAGGGUCCA